rnacentral:pre_miRNA from 1 species
ACAACAUUCGGACCGUCAGUAUAUCGAGCAAUAUCACCCGCUCGGCAGAAGAUUCCCUUUCCCUUUGUCUU